rnacentral:rRNA from 1 species
GGAAUAUUGCACAAUGGGCGCAAGCCUGAUGCAGCCAUGCCGCGUGUGUGAAGAAGGCCUUCGGGUUGUAAAGCACUUUAAGCAGGGAGGAAGGCUAUACGGUUAAUACCCGUAUAGAUUGACGUUACCUGCAGACUAAGCACCGGCUAACUCCGUGCCAGCAGCCGGGGUAAUACGGAGGGUGCAAGCGUUAAUCGGAAUUACUGGGCGUAAAGCGCGCGUAGGCGGCCUAUUAAGCGAGAUGUGAAAUCCCCGGGCUUAACCUGGGAAUUGCAUUUCGAACUGAUAGGCUAGAGUGUAGAAGAGGGGUGUGGAAUUUCCGGUGUAGCGGUGAAAUGCGUAGAGAUCGGAAGGAACACCAGUGGCGAAGGCGACACCCUGGUCAAACACUGACGCUGAGGUGCGAAAGCGUGGGUAGCA